rnacentral:rRNA from 1 species
AGCAGCCGCGGUAAUUCCAGCUCCAAUAGCGUAUAUUAAAGUUGUUGCAGUUAAAAAGCUCGUAGUUGAAUUUCGGGAUUAGUACGCUGGUCGUGCCUUCGGUACGUACUGGUGUUACUGAUUCCUACCUUCUGACGAACCGUCAUGUCAUUAAUUUGAUGUGGCGGGGAAUCAGGACUGUUACUUUGAAAAAAUUAGAGUGUUUAAAGCAGGCUCGCGCUUGAAUACAUUAGCAUGGAAUAAUGAAAUAGGACGUUCGAUCCUAUUUUGUUGGUUUCUAGGAUUGACGUAGUGAUUAAUAGGGAUAGUUGGGGGCAUUAGUAUUCAAUUGUCAGAGGUGAAAUUCUUGGAUUUAUUGAAGACUAACUACUGCGAAAGCAUUUGCCAAGGAUGUUUUCAUUAAUCAAGAACGAAAGUUAGGGGAUCGAAGACGAUCAGAUACCGUCGUAGUCUUAACCAUAAACUAUGCCGACUAGGGAUCGGAUGAUGUUAUUUAAUGACUCAUUCGGCGCCUUACGGG